rnacentral:rRNA from 1 species
GAUGAACGCUGGCGGCGUGCCUAAUACAUGCAAGUCGAGCGAACGGACGAGAAGCUUGCUUCUCUGAUGUUAGCGGCGGACGGGUGAGUAACACGUGGAUAACCUACCUAUAAGACUGGGAUAACUUCGGGAAACCGGAGCUAAUACCGGAUAAUAUUUUGAACCGCAUGGUUCAAAAGUGAAAGACGGUCUUGCUGUCACUUAUAGAUGGAUCCGCGCUGCAUUAGCUAGUUGGUAAGGUAACGGCUUACCAAGGCAACGAUGCAUAGCCGACCUGAGAGGGUGAUCGGCCACACGGGAGCUGAGACACGGUCCAGACUCCUACGGGCGGCAGCAGUAGGGAAUCUUCGGAGAUGGGCGAAAGCCUGACGGAGCAACGCCGCGUGAGUGAUGAAGGUCUUCGGAUCGUAAAACUCUGUUAUUAGGGAAGACCAUAUGUGUAAGGAACUGUGCACAUCUUGACGGUACCUAAUCAGAAAGCCACGGCUAACUACGUG